GGCUUAGUGGCGGAGUGGUCCGCAUCUGCAGCCUGUUCGUCUUUUCGUUAAUGCUAUGCAGAAGACGCUUGUUCGAAUCAAGCCUGAGCCU